GGCAGAGAGACAAGCAGGCAGAGAGUAUGUUUGUAAGUUACAGUGUCUAAGGCAGAACAAGGAAGUUUACAUUUGCUGUUUUCCUGCACAGGAGAUCAUCAGCUUUUAGAGAGAUAGAGGCCAGAAGGCGGCAAUUCACCCCCAUCAGCAACUGGACACAGAGAGCAGCACCCGGUACAAACACUUUAUUCACUGAGACCUUGGCCCAGUAUGAUGAUUACCAACUGCACAAACUGACAGAGGACAGAUCGGGACAGAUUGGAACAGGCCAUUGAGGAAGGCGUGGAGGACAUCAGCUCAAGGCUGACACAGAAGGAAAGUUUCAGCACUCAGGAGCACAAAAAACUCAUUGAGCUCACACACACUGGGCAGAGGAGAGACAGGUUUCCGGGCCAUGAGAGUGAUGUGGGAAUCCUUUGUGGGAAAGAGGCAGACUUUGCCCAAACUGAACAAAAUUAUGACUGAAAUACACGAUAAAAGGUGCCAUUCUAGUGAAUGAGGUGACCAUUAACCGAAGUGUACCAGAAGUCCCCAGUGAUAUGAUAGGUAUGUGAUUGGGACAAGAUUCAAGCUGCCAAUCAUUUCUGAAAGAAACGGUUUGUCACUUUUCCAUUUACUGUGAGAGAAAAAGAGAAAGAGAAGGACAGAAAGAGCGAGAUCGACUGAG